ACUUACAAAAAAAUAUAUGUAUAUUCAGAUAUGAAUAGUAUUUACAAUUUUAUUUUAUUAUAAUAUAUUAUAUUAAUAUUUUUUUGAAUAUUUAAAAAAUUAAUAAUAUGAAAGUUAUCUUUAUAAUUAUUCGUAAAUAGUCAAAUAAGUUAAAAUAAUUUAAUAAUAAAUUAAUUAAAUGGCGACAUUAUCAACCAUAAGCGAUUGAACGAUCGUGUAUAUAAAUAUGUCACGAACAAGUACGAAACUUGAUUCGAAAAAAGUUAAUUCAGAAUUGUUUACAUUGACAUAUGGAGCAUUAGUAGCUCAAUUAUUAAAAGAUUAUGAAAAUAUAGAAGAUGUAAAUAAACAAUUAGAAAGAAUGGGUUACAAUAUGGGUAUUCGUUUAAUAGAAGAUUUCUUAGCUCGAACUGGAUCUGGACGAUGUUAUGAUUUUCGGGAUACAGCCGAAAAAAUACAAACUGGUUUUAAAAUAUUUUUGGGAAUAACACCAACAAUUACAAAUUGGAGUGCUGCUGGUGAUGAAUUUUCUUUAUGUUUUGAAGCAAAUCCAUUAACAGAAUUUGUUGAAUUACCAGAUCAUUGUUUAAAUUUAAAAUAUUGUAAUGUAUUAAUUGGAGUAUUAAGAGGUGCUUGUGAAAUGGUACAAAUGGAAAUUGCUUGUUGGUUUGUACAAGACCAACUAAAAAAUGAUAAUGUAACUGAAUUGCGUGUUAAAUUUAUUAAAAGAUUAGAAGAUGCUAUUCCAGCAGGUGAAGAUUAAAUUUUGUGUUAUUAAAGGUAUAUGUAUAAAAUUAUUAUAAUUUUUGUACAUGUACAUAUAUACUUUUUUUUUAUAUAUAUAUUAUUUUUUUUAUUAUUUUUUCAUUAAUUUAUUCAUUUAAUGUUAUAAUUGAUGUAAUCUAAAACAAAAUAUAUUAAACAUAAAACAUACAUGAAAUAUUUUAUAUAGAAUUAUGUAUUUUUAAUAUAAAAUAUAUCAAUAUGAAAACAUAAAAAUUUAAAUUAAGGUAUAUUAAUAUAGAAAUAAAAUAUAGAAUUAAAAUAUUUUCUAUAAAUAAAAUAUAUGUGAUAAUUAUUUUAAGAUAUAUGUGAUAUUAUUUAUUUUAUAAAAAUAUUAAAUAAUUUAUUUUUAAAAACAUAUGGUUAUAAGGUUAAAUUAAAGAAACGUGAAACGUGAAACUACGUGAAUUGUAGUUAUAUGAAGUAAAAAAACGCGAUGGAAGUGAAGUGUAAACAUUGUAGAAAAAAUCUUUUUAAUAAAGAAUGUAUUUCUUUAUUUACUUCUCAUAAUGAAAUAAAAAAAAAUCUUACUGAUGUUGGAUGUGAAACAAAUAAUUUUGAAUCUUGUUCAUAUAUAUCAGUGGAAAAAUUACCUAAAUGGGUUGAACAUACUAUAAACCAAGUAAAGUUUCUUCUAAAUUAUAUUAUUAAAAAAAAGUUUUAUUGUACCAAAAAAUAAAAAUUACAUCAAUGAAAA